UUAAUAUCCUGACCUAGUGAGAUAUACAUGGAGGAGGUUUAAUAUCCUGACCUAGUGAGAUAUACAUGGAGGAGGUUUAAUAUCCUGACCUAGUGAGAUAUACAUGGAGGAGGUUUAAUAUCCUGACCUAGUGAGAUAUACACGGAGGAGGUUUAAUAUCCUGACCUAGUGAGAUAUACACGGAGGAGGUUUAAUAUCCUGACCUAGUGAGAUAUACAUGGAGGAGGUUUAAUAUCCUGACCUAGUGAGAUAUACAUGGAGGAGGUUUAAUAUCCUGACCUAGUGAGAUAUACAUGGAGGAGGUUUAAUAUC